GGGCCGGUGGUCUAGUGGCUAUGACGCCGCCCUUACGAGGCGGAGGUCGUGGGUUCGAGUCCCACCCGGCCCACCA
rnacentral:tRNA from 1 species